AUGAAUGUUGGACAAGCUAUUGCAAUGAUGUAUGAAUUUCUUCACCUGAAAUAAUUGUGUAGAUCAAAUACACGAGCUUUUUAACCCUGAGC
rnacentral:snoRNA from 1 species